rnacentral:pre_miRNA from 1 species
CUUGAACUCCCUCCGUCCGGAAAUACUUGUCAUUGAAAUGGAUGUAUCUAGAUGUAUUUUAGUUCUAGACACAUCCAUUUUGAUGACAAGUAAUUCCGGACGGAGGGAGUACUUC